UGUCGAGUAACUCCUAUCCCUACCUCCCCGUGGUGCCGCCUGGAGUACAAGUAACCGUAGGAAUGAUCGGGUAACCAACCUCGGUGGGACUUUGGUCGUAUGCUUACUGGGAAAG
rfam:Aedes aegypti strain Liverpool supercont1.260 genomic scaffold, whole genome shotgun sequence.